AACGCUAGCUACAGGCUUAACACAUGCAAGUCGAGGGGAAACGAUAUUGGAAGCUUGCUUCCGAUAGGCGUCGACCGGCGCACGGGUGAGUAACGCGUAUCCAACCUGCCCACCACUUGGGAAUAACCUUGCGAAAGUAAGACUAAUACCCAAUGACGUCUCUAGAAGACAUCUGAAGGAGAUUAGAGAUUUAUCGGUGAUGGAUGGGGAUGCGUCUGAUUAGCUUGUUGGCGGGGUAACGGCCCACCAAGGCGACGAUCAGUAGGGGUUCUGAGAGGAAGGUCCCCCACAUUGGAACUGAGACACGGUCCAAACUCCUACGGGAGGCAGCAGUGAGGAAUAUUGGUCAAUGGGCGAGAGCCUGAACCAGCCAAGUAGCGUGCAGGAUGACGGCCCUAUGGGUUGUAAACUGCUUUUAUAAGGGAAUAAAGUGAGCCUCGUGAGGCUUUUUGCAUGUACCUUAUGAAUAAGGACCGGCUAAUUCCGUGCCAGCAGCCGCGGUAAUACGGAAGGUCCGGGCGUUAUCCGGAUUUAUUGGGUUUAAAGGGAGCGUAGGCCGGAGAUUAAGCGUGUUGUGAAAUGUAGAUGCUCAACAUCUGCACUGCAGCGCGAACUGGUUUCCUUGAGCACGCACAAAGUGGGCGGAAUUCGUGGUGUAGCGGUGAAAUGCUUAGAUAUCACGAAGAACUCCGAUUG
rnacentral:rRNA from 1 species